GUAGCAGAACUGUGAAGUCUUGCAGAGUGCAAAACCUCUCAUUUUACUAAGAGAUCAUGUUCUCGGAGAGGGAAAGGCGCAGCCUGAGGGCAGCACGCAUCUUUUCCCGGAGAUGAAAUCUCUUCAUUCCCCGAUGACGCAAAGAGCAAUGUCCUCUUAAACGUGGAGGUCAAAUUCUCACACACCUCAGGUGUGGCCUUAGAGUAACGUCUGUGAAUCCUGACCGGGGAGCUGUUGUGGUCUUGCCUUUUUGUCCUCAUCUGAUGACGGGGGCCCUCAGCCUUCUCUCCAGGCCCUCAACUUACCCCGGCUCCCCAUUCUUCUUCAAAGAUGCCAAGAAGCUGGACUUAGAUCUACAUCGAAGACUAGAUCUAGACUUCCUUGUUUUCUCAGUAAAGACUGAAGAACAGCAAAAGUAACAAAACUGCCAGAAGGACGUUUAUGAAGCUAAAAUGAGAUUAUGGGCCUGAUUCAUAGAAAGUUCUCAAUAAACAGUUUAGGAAGGGUUGUGUUGAGGACUAUUGGGAAAAAGUGAUUGACGAGUUUUCAUCACGGCUAUGGCCUCGUUAAAGGAAAUGGGCUUCCUUGCAGCAGAAAAAAAUAUUUAAUUUUUUAAAAAUAAAAUUACUGGGAAAUUCUGUUAUCUAAUUCCAAGGAAAUAUCUAAAGAUCCCUCUGCAAUCGUCUUGGGAUGAUAAAUGUUUGGAGCCAAGGGGUGACUCUAGUGCUAGCUCUGAAUGUUUUCAGGCAUUUAGACACCAUUUAUUGUCAAUAAAUUACAUGUAAAUUUAAAUCUACUGAUGAGGAAUCCUAGGUUUUUUUGUUUCUUUCUUGUUUUUAUGGUACGAUGUGAUUUACAAAUCUAGAGCUGAAAAAGACCGAGAAAGCUCUCAUUUUUAUAGUUAACCUAACAAGAAACUCUAGUUCCUGGCUUCUGCAGCUGCCAACUCCCCUGGAAAGAUUUUUCUUUAAGUUUUCUUUGUAAAAACAAUUUAAAUUAAGCUCCCAAAUAUGCAUUUACUGAGGAUUUGCUUUGAUAGAUCCUGUGUAGGUGGUGAUUGCAGAAUUAAUCUUCAGUAAAUACAUUUUUGAUAAUCAGUUGAUUUUCAUUUACACAUAGUAACCACCAUAGAAACUCAAGUCAUGUAUAUCUAGUCAAAAACAAGUUGAAUAAAUACCGGCCAGUUACUAAAACCAUUUAUUGAGAAUUAACUCCUUGUUACCAUCUGGAUCCAAAUCCAGUGGACACAUUUGGUAGUUAAUGUGUGGGAUUCCCUGGUAGAAGCCACGGAAUAAAGCGUAUUCACCGAUAUCCAUAGGAUUCCUGGACGUGCAUCCGGCUUGGGGCUAACUAGCAAGUCUCAGUGUUGGCCUCUUAGGCUGAGAAUAAAUAAAGAGAGUAUAACAACCAAACUGGAGCCCACGAGGAAGGGACACUUAGGGCAGCCGAUCCGCUGUGCUGCUCUGAGGAGCUCCAUGUCGGCCACAGGCUUAGAGCUCAUCUCCAGUGAUGUGGCCCCUGCUGGCAGCCCUCCAUCAGAAUCCUCAGAAUAUGGGCAUAGAGUCAGGGUCUGCCACCGAGUUCUAGGUCUAGGAGUUAACAGCUUGUGACCUUGGGCAACUGACGGGCUCUCUAACAUGUUUCCUCCUUUGUGAAGUGGAAAUGUAAAAGAGUAUUUACAUUUUUACGUUUACGUAAUAUUGACGUCGUUAGACUUCCUAUCAAACGUGAUAGUAAGAAGGUGCAUGAAAGGACCUUGGAUACCGUGCGGCACGUGAAUAGAGGAACUAUGGCUGUGAUGACUUUCCAGGGAGAAAAGCCUUGAGAUAAUACAUUAAGGUUUCUGAUGACGCUUCCUUGGCAACCAGAUGCAUUCGUUGGGAAGGGAGGUGUCCAGAUAAUACUCAGAUUUCCAGUGGCCGCAAACCAAAACUAUGCAAGAUGGUGGUCCAGUCUCGGUUCCCGGGUGGUUCCACGCAGAUGGGGCCUUACCUUCCUGAGUGCUUGACCCACUCUUGCUGUUGACCUUUUUGGAAGGUUGUGCCUCGGUAGUGUUGUCAAAUAGGUAGCAGUCCAACUUGGGGCAAGACAGCAGCUGACUCCCUUCACUCUGGAACGAGCCAGAGUAAGUCCUGGGUUGGGAAAGGGUCCAUCCUUUACCUCCUUCGGGGAUCCAGGAGGUCAGAAGUCUGGGGCCAGAAGCUCUGGAGCUCGAUCCUGUCCAGCCUGCCCUCCCCUGGCUGCUGGGCAGCCGGAAGGGAAGAGGGAAGAGCCAUCCCCACUGUAUCAUGAAUAAACCAGCCAACAAGGGAAGGUGCAUCGCACUCCUUAGCACAUCCAGGGGCUGCUGGUGGCAGUCACUCCGCCUUCCCAAAUCCACUUAGAAUGCAACCUGUGAUUUACCUUCACCUUCUACUGCUCUGCCAGGUUGUUUACUGGGCAGCCUUAUUACCAAUCUCCUAAAAUCCCCGUGAACUCCAUAGAUCCUAGGCUAUAGCAUUAGUACAACUGCAGCCUGCGUGAUGAGCCUCUGCAAUUACUCACCAGGGGCUGGACUAAGCGGGCCUUUGUCACCAGGUCCCCAGUGAUGUACACUGUGUGCAACAUUGAACCAGCUUCAGAAACGAGGAGGGGGAAGGAAGGACGAAAGAGAUCUCAGCAGUCUCUUUUUAAAUUUUUUCCCUUUUUAUGCCUUUUUUUUGCUGAAUGCGUUCUUUUUUUUUUUUCUCCCUCUGUUCUUUCAGUCUUCCUCUACCUAGUGUCUCUCUUAGCCUCAAGAAGCAGAUGUGGGGCAAUAGAAAGACAGCUUCAUAGCCCUCGCCGCUCCCCCUGGAGGCCCGGCAGCAGCCAGCAGGCCCUGUGGGGUGGGGGGAUGGCAAGGCUCAGGCCCGGCUGGCUGCAGCUGUGGGAGAAAAUCUCGGAUGAAUUUCAAAACCUGCCUUUGCUUUGGAUGUGAUCAACAGUCACAGCGGGGCCUCUGUGUUUUACUGUGUGAACAAGCUCAGAAGGAGGGAGCAAAUGCAGCCCCCCACUCGCCCCUCCCCUGCUGCAGUGUGGCUGAGGGGGGGAGGGCAUUGGAAACUCCUCUACCUCCCUGCCGUGGGCCUGGGUCUGCCCCGAGCAGAGCAGUCCUGGAAGAGGAGGAAACAGGGGAUGUGCACUCAGCAGGCAGCCCGGCUGCUGCUGUCCCCAGAUGUUCAGCAGAUGCAGAAGCGGGCUUGCCCUCAGGUGUGCCAGAAUGUCCUGGGCGGAGAGCUUGGGGGCACCCACGUGUGUGGGCUCCUGGAGCACCUUCCGGUACGAGAGCACAGAUAGAGAUGGUAGCCAAGCACCCUGUCUUCGGGCUCUGCCCCCUCAGCCUCUUCUAGGCUCUCCCGGGGAACUGGCUUGUGGGUGGCGAGAAGCACGGGUGAGAAGAUGUUGCUGAAAGAGGGCUGUAGAUCACAGAAGUCCAAGCAAAUAAAAACCUCGUCUCAGGUUAUCACGGCCUCCAGCCUUAUCAGAAAGGUGCAUGUGGCUUUCACAGAAGGAGUUUCUGGAACAGUUGUUGAUUGAGGACUCGCCCCGCUCUCUACCAGAAGGCAGUGCGGCAGCCUCGUGGUUUCCUGCCUGUCUCAUGGGUCGUCCACUCACAGACUGACUCAGCAGACAUGGAACACGUAUAUCCUUGUACUCACGGCUGUCCCCAGGGUCAGGCUGCGAGACAACCUCCUUCCUGCCUGAGGACGCUACGUGGUAGGCUUGUGAGGCUCCUUCUAAAAGGAGUGAAGUCCAUCUCUGGCAGCAGGGGAGGUGGGACAAGGCAACACUGGCCUCCCUUCCCUUUCUGCUGGUAAAGCCACUUUCACAGAAAUGUUUCUCUCCUGGCACAGCCCUGGGAAGAUAAGGACGAGCCAGGUGGACCCCCUUUCUCAGUGGCAGGGCCAGAACCCUUAACGUCUGUUCCAGAGAAGCCUGGUGGGAUGUGCAGGGUCCUCACAGCCCCAGGAACUGCAGUAGUAAUGGAGAGUAACUCCUCCAGGGCAUGUUUCUUUCAAAGAGCCUCAGGGUCUGUCUAAUGCGCUCACCCAGGAGCCCCCCAGAAAUGCAGAUUCUCAGGCCAUGCCUCAAACCUGCUCAAUCAGAAAUGGGGGCUGGAGCCCAGCAUCCUGUCCUUUAACCAGCCCCCUGGGGGGUCCUCAGGCCUGCUCUACCUCACUGGUUCUCAAACUGUACUGCAGGUUGGGAUCACCUGGGUGGUUUUCAGAAACAGUGAUGCUAGGGUCCUGCUCCCAGGGAUUCUGACUUGAUUAGACUGGGACGAAGCUUGGGAACUGGGGUUUUUAAAUCUGCUCAGGUGAUUCUAAUGGGCAUGGAAAGUAGAGAACCACCGAUGUCACAGAAAAGGGGGCCUCGGGUCCUUAUCCCAUCCCAGAAUUUUGGCUGCUAUGCUUUUUGUUUCCUGGAAUUCUUAGCAAUCUGGGGACGUUUGUCCAGUCAUUAGGAGAAGAUGCUAAUUAGUACCAUCUAAGCUGGUACCUUUCACCUGACUUUAUAGAGACAGUCGCAGGUAAACGGGGACUGUGCGGCCAGGUGAGGUCAGUACCAGCUCCUGGGGUUUCCUAGAAUGCAGGGGAGUUGCUGGCACAUCUGGCUUUGCACCGGUGGCUGUCCCCUACCUGUGCCAUGAGUGGACUGGGCUGCGUCCCUGCUUAUAGUCCCAGACCCCUCUCCUGACAUCGCUUCCACCCCAAAUCUCCACUGAGGAGUGGUGGAGAAAGGAGGGUGGGGCUGGCAGGGAGGAAAAUGCAGCUCUCCUCGAUGUUGAGCACGUCUGAUUGUAAAAAUCAGGAAAUAUACUCACUGG
rnacentral:lncRNA from 1 species